GACGAACGCUGGCGGCGUGCCUAAUACAUGCAAGUCGAACGCACUCUCGUUUAGAUUGAAGGAGCUUGCUCCUGAUUGAUAAACAUUUGAGUGAGUGGCGGACGGGUGAGUAACACGUGGGUAACCUGCCCUAAAGUGGGGGAUAACAUUUGGAAACAGAUGCUAAUACCGCAUAAAACCUAACACCGCAUGGUGUAGGGUUGAAAGAUGGUUUCGGCUAUCACUUUAGGAUGGACCCGCGGUGCAUUAGUUAGUUGGUGAGGUAAAGGCUCACCAAGACCGUGAUGCAUAGCCGACCUGAGAGGGUAAUCGGCCACACUGGGACUGAGACACGGCCCAGACUCCUACGGGAGACAGCAGUAGGGAAUCUUCCACAAUGGACGAAAGUCUGAUGGAACAACGCCGCGUGAGUGAAGAAGGUUUUCGGAUCGUAAAACUCUGUUGUUGGAGAAGAAUGUAAUCUGAUAGUAACUGAUCAGGUAGUGACGGUAUCCAACCAGAAAGCCACGGU
rnacentral:rRNA from 1 species